AGCGAACGCUGGUGGCAGGCCUAACACAUGCAAGUCGAACGAACCCUUCGGGGUUAGUGGCGGACGGGUGAGUAACACGUGGGAACGUGCCUUUAGGUUCGGAAUAACUCAGGGAAACUUGUGCUAAUACCGAAUGUGCCCUUCGGGGGAAAGAUUUAUCGCCUUUAGAGCGGCCCGCGUCUGAUUAGCUAGUUGGUGAGGUAAAGGCUCACCAAGGCUACGAUCAGUAGCUGGUCUGAGAGGAUGACCCGCCACAUUGGGACUGAGACACGGCCCAAACUCCUACGGGAGGCAGCAGUGGGGAACCUUGCGCAAUGGGCGAAAGCCUGACGCAGCCAUGCCGCCUGGAUGAUGAAGGUCUUAGGAUUGUAAAAUCCUUUCACCGGUGAAGAUAAUGACUGUAGCCGGAGAAGAAGCCCCGGCUAACUUCGUGCCAGCAGCCGCCGUAAAAC
rnacentral:rRNA from 1 species